rnacentral:rRNA from 1 species
UUAAGCGACUAAGCGUACACGGUGGAUGCCCUGGCAGUCAGAGGCGAUGAAGGGCGUGCUAAUCUGCGAUAAGCGCCGGUAAGGUGAUAUGAACCGUUAUAACCGGCGAUACCCGAAUGGGGAAACCCAGUGUGAUUCGUCACACUAUCAUUAACUGAAUCCAUAGGUUAAUGAGGCGAACCGGGGGAACUGAAACAUCUAAGUACCCCGAGGAAAAGAAAUCAACCGAGAUUCCCCCAGUAGCGGCGAGCGAACGGGGAGGAGCCCAGAGCCUGAAUCAGCAUGUGUGUUAGUGGAAGCGUCUGGAAAGGCGCGCGAUACAGGGUGACAGCCCCGUACACAAAAGCGCAUGUGCUGUGAGCUCGAUGAGUAGGGCGGGACACGUGGUAUCCUGUCUGAAUAUGGGGGGACCAUCCUCCAAGGCUAAAUACUCCUGACUGACCGAUAGUGAACCAGUACCGUGAGGGAAAGGCGAAAAGAACCCCGGCGAGGGGAGUGAAAAAGAACCUGAAACCGUGUACGUACAAGCAGUGGGAGCCCCACCACCAAAGCGUUUCGCUUUGUGUGGUGCACAAAGAAGCGUAACGACAGCACUGAAUGACGGUUAACGGAGCGCAAGCGACGUUCAACAUACAAAGUCAAGCAGUGGAGCGCUUUGGGGUGGGGUGACUGCGUACCUUUUGUAUAAUGGGUCAGCGACUUAUAUUCUGUAGCAAGGUUAACCGAAUAGGGGAGCCGGAGGGAAACCGAGUCUUAAUUGGGCGUUAAGUUGCAGGGUAUAGACCCGAAACCCGGUGAUCUAGCCAUGGGCAGGUUGAAGGUUGGGUAACACUAACUGGAGGACCGAACCGACUAAUGUUGAAAAAUUAGCGGAUGACCUGUGGCUGGGGGUGAAAGGCCAAUCAAACCGGGAGAUAGCUGGUUCUCCCCGAAAGCUAUUUAGGUAGCGCCUCGUGAAUUCAUCUCCGGGGGUAGAGCACUGUUUCGGCUAGGGGGCCAUCCCGGCUUACCAACCCGAUGCAAACUGCGAAUACCGGAGAAUGUUAUCACGGGAGACACACGGCGGGUGCUAACGUCCGUCGUGAAGAGGGAAACAACCCAGACCGCCAGCUAAGGUCCCAAAGUCAUGGUUAAGUGGGAAACGAUGUGGGAAGGCCCAGACAGCCAGGAUGUUGGCUUAGAAGCAGCCAUCAUUUAAAGAAAGCGUAAUAGCUCACUGGUCGAGUCGGCCUGCGCGGAAGAUGUAACGGGGCUAAACCAUGCACCGAAGCUGCGGCAGCGACGCUUAUGCGUUGUUGGGUAGGGGAGCGUUCUGUAAGCCUGUGAAGGUGGCCUGUGAGGGUUGCUGGAGGUAUCAGAAGUGCGAAUGCUGACAUAAGUAACGAUAAAGCGGGUGAAAAGCCCGCUCGCCGGAAGACCAAGGGUUCCUGUCCAACGUUAAUCGGGGCAGGGUGAGUCGACCCCUAAGGCGAGGCCGAAAGGCGUAGUCGAUGGGAAACGGGUUAAUAUUCCCGUACUUGGUGUUACUGCGAAGGGGGGACGGAGAAGGCUAUGUUGGCCGGGCGACGGUUGUCCCGGUUUAAGCGUGUAGGUGUGUGUUCCAGGUAAAUCCGGUUCACUUUAACACUGAGGCGUGACGACGAGGCACUACGGUGCUGAAGCAACAAAUGCCCUGCUUCCAGGAAAAGCCUCUAAGCAUCAGGUAACAUCAAAUCGUACCCCAAACCGACACAGGUGGUCAGGUAGAGAAUACCAAGGCGCUUGAGAGAACUCGGGUGAAGGAACUAGGCAAAAUGGUGCCGUAACUUCGGGAGAAGGCACGCUGACACGUAGGUGAAGUGAUUUACUCAUGGAGCUGAAGUCAGUCGAAGAUACCAGCUGGCUGCAACUGUUUAUUAAAAACACAGCACUGUGCAAACACGAAAGUGGACGUAUACGGUGUGACGCCUGCCCGGUGCCGGAAGGUUAAUUGAUGGGGUCAGCGCAAGCGAAGCUCCUGAUCGAAGCCCCGGUAAACGGCGGCCGUAACUAUAACGGUCCUAAGGUAGCGAAAUUCCUUGUCGGGUAAGUUCCGACCUGCACGAAUGGCGUAAUGAUGGCCAGGCUGUCUCCACCCGAGACUCAGUGAAAUUGAACUCGCUGUGAAGAUGCAGUGUACCCGCGGCAAGACGGAAAGACCCCGUGAACCUUUACUAUAGCUUGACACUGAACAUUGAGCCUUGAUGUGUAGGAUAGGUGGGAGGCUUUGAAGCGUGGACGCCAGUCUGCGUGGAGCCGACCUUGAAAUACCACCCUUUAAUGUUUGAUGUUCUAACGUGGACCCGUAAUCCGGGUUGCGGACAGUGUCUGGUGGGUAGUUUGACUGGGGCGGUCUCCUCCUAAAGAGUAACGGAGGAGCACGAAGGUUGGCUAAUCCUGGUCGGACAUCAGGAGGUUAGUGCAAUGGCAUAAGCCAGCUUGACUGCGAGCGUGACGGCGCGAGCAGGUGCGAAAGCAGGUCAUAGUGAUCCGGUGGUUCUGAAUGGAAGGGCCAUCGCUCAACGGAUAAAAGGUACUCCGGGGAUAACAGGCUGAUACCGCCCAAGAGUUCAUAUCGACGGCGGUGUUUGGCACCUCGAUGUCGGCUCAUCACAUCCUGGGGCUGAAGUAGGUCCCAAGGGUAUGGCUGUUCGCCAUUUAAAGUGGUACGCGAGCUGGGUUUAGAACGUCGUGAGACAGUUCGGUCCCUAUCUGCCGUGGGCGCUGGAGAACUGAGGGGGGCUGCUCCUAGUACGAGAGGACCGGAGUGGACGCAUCACUGGUGUUCGGGUUGUCAUGCCAAUGGCACUGCCCGGUAGCUAAAUGCGGAAGAGAUAAGUGCUGAAAGCAUCUAAGCACGAAACUUGCCCCGAGAUGAGUUCUCCCUGAGACUUAGAGUCUCCUGAAGGAACGUUGAAGACGACGACGUUGAUAGGCCGGGUGUGUAAGCGCAGCGAUGCGUUGAGCUAACCGGUACUAAUGAACCGUGAGGCUUAACCUU